rnacentral:rRNA from 1 species
GCUAGCGGCAGCUUAACACAUGCAAGUCGAACGGUAACUCUUAGUGCUUGCACUAAAAGACGAGUGGCGGACGGGUGCGUAACGCGUAUGCAAUCUACCUUUUACUAGGGAAUAGCCCAGAGAAAUUUGGAUUAAUCCCCUAUAAUAUCAAAAAUUCGCAUGAUUUUUUGAUUAAAGUUUCGACGGUAAAAGAUGAGCAUGCGUCCUAUUAGUUUGUAGGUGAGGUAAUGGCUCACCUAGACUACGAUAGGUAGGGGCCCUGAGAGGGGGAUCCCCCACACUGGUACUGAGACACGGACCAGACUCCUACGGGAGGCAGCAGUGAGGAAUAUUGGACAAUGGACGAAAGUCUGAUCCAGCUAUGCCGCGUGCAGGAUGACAGCCCUACGGGUUGUAAACUGCUUUUAUACAGGAAGAAAAACUCCGACGUGUCGGGGCUUGACGGUACUGUAAGAAUAAGGAUCGGCUAACUCCGUGCCAGCAGCCGCGGUAAUACGGAGGAUCCAAGCGUUAUCCGGAAUUAUUGGGUUUAAAGGGUCCGCAGGCGGUUUUUUAAGUCAGAGGUGAAAUCCUACAGCUCAACUGUAGAAUUGCCUUUGAUACUGAAAGACUUGAGUUAUUGUGAAGUGGUUAGAAUGUGUGGUGUAGCGGUGAAAUGCAUAGAUAUCACACAGAAUACCAAUUGCGAAGGCAGAUCACUAACAAUUAACUGACGCUCAGGGACGAAAGCGUGGGUAGCGAACAGGAUUAGAUACCCUGGUAGUCCACGCCGUAAACGAUGGAUACUAGCUGUAUGUCUACCUCAGGUAGAUGUGUGGCCAAGCGAAAGUGAUAAGUAUCCCACCUGGGGAGUACG